rnacentral:misc_RNA from 1 species
GAGUUUGCAGUGGGCGACUAUGUAUUCCUAAAGGUUUCUCCAAUGAAGGGAGUCAUGAGAUUUGGAAAGAAGGGCAAGUUGGCACCUCGGUAUAUUGGACCUUUUGAGGUUACUGAUAGAGUUGGAGCAGUUGCCUACCGGUUGGAGCUACCACCCAACCUCUCUCACGUUCAUCCCGUGUUUCACAUCUCCAUGCUCAGGAAAUACAUUCCAGAUCCUUCUCAUGUACUACAGCCAGAUGUAAUAGAGCUAAAAGAGAACUUGACAUUUGAGGAG